UUCCGGUUGAUCCUGCCGGACCUGACUGCUAUCGGAUUGAUACUAAGCCAUGCGAGUCAUUGUAGUAAUACAAGGCAGACGGCUCAGUAACGCGUAGUCAACCUACCCUAUGGACGGGAAUAACCUCGGGAAACUGAGUAUAAUGCCCGAUAGAACAUUAUACCUGGAAUGGUUUAUGUUCCAAAUGAUUUAUCGCCAUAGGAUGGGACUGCGGCCUAUCAGUUUGUUGGUGAGGUAAUGGCCCACCAAGACUAUUACAGGUACGGGCUCUGAGAGGAGUGGCCCGGAGAUGGGUACUGAGACACGGACCCAGGCCCUAUGGGGCGCAGCAGGCGAGAAAACUUUGCAAUGUGCGAAAGCACGACAAGGUUAAUCCGAGUGGUUUCUGCUAAAGGAACCUUUUGUCAGUCCUAGAAACACUAACGAAUAAGGGGUGGGCAAGUUCUGGUGUCAGCCGCCGCGGUAAAACCAGCACCUCAAGUGGUCAGGAUGAUUAUUGGGCCUAAAGCAUCCGUAGCCGGCUCUAUAAGUUUUCGGUUAAAUCUGUACGCUUAACGUACAGGCUGCCGGGAAUACUGCAGAGCUAGGGAGUGGGAGAGGUAGACGGUACUCGGUAGGAAGGGGUAAAAUCCUUUGAUCUAUUGAUGACCACCUGUGGCGAAGGCGGUCUACCAGAACACGUCCGACGGUGAGGGAUGAAAGCUGGGGGAGCAAACCGGAUUAGAUACCCGGGUAGUCCCAGCUGUAAACUAUGCAAACUCAGUGAUGCAUUGGCUUGUGGCCAAUGCAGUGCUGCAGGGAAGCCGUUAAGUUUGCCGCCUGGGAAGUACGUACGCAAGUAUGAAACUUAAACGAAUUGGCGGGGGAGCACCACUAGGGGUGAAGCCUGCGGUUCAAUUGGAUUCAACGCCGGAA
rnacentral:rRNA from 1 species